rnacentral:rRNA from 1 species
UACGUAGGGACCAAGCUGUUGUCCGGAAUCAUUGGGCGUAAAGAGCGUGUAGGCGGCUUGUUAAGUCUUGCGUGAAAUCUCGGGGCUCAACCCCGAGCGGUCGUGAGAAACUGGCAGGCUAGAGUGCGGGAGAGGAGAGUGGAAUUCCUGGUGUAGCGGUGAAAUGCGCAGAUAUCAGGAGGAACACCGAUGGCGAAGGCAGGUCUCUGGGCAUUAACUGACGCUGAGGAGCGAAAGCGUGGGGAGCGAACAGG